CCAGCUCCUUUGAUUUUCUUCCUAGCACUUAACAUCCUCUGACAUACUUUAUAUUUAUUUGUUUAUUGCUUCUCCUCCCUCCCCAACUAGAAUGUUCCAUGAGGGCGGGGUGUGUUAUCUUGGUCUCUGUUGAGUCCCCAGUGCCCAGAAUGACUCCUGGACAAAGGCACAUGGAUAUGGAGUGAACGAGAGUUUGUAGGCAGAGAGCGCCGCGGGCUCCCUCCUUAGUCAUCACCACCCUUCAAGUAGUAACAGGAGCCCCACCCGAGCAUUUGGGUAGAGUGGUUGCAGGAUGGCUGUCUUCACAUCUGAUCAUUUUCAUGCAGUGUUCUUUGGAAAUGGGCUUACAGACCAGUCACCAGAAAAAUGCCUCCCAGAGAAUGCACGGGUUCACCUUCUCCCGCUAGACUUCCCCAACCAGCACAAUAAACAAAGCGGCAUAAAUAAACCAGCCUCCUUCGCGAAGUACCUUGUGAGUGGUCACUUCCCCCAGGCAAGCGGGCUGGUGACUGUCUGCAAGGUUAGUUGCAUUCGCACUAAACUCUUGGGCAAAGCUAGCGUGUCAUCACAAUUGUUUUCUUUUAACUCAUUGCUAAGGUCCUCUGAGAAUGGUGCUCAGUGGGGAAGGGGCGAGAUGGCUGCCUUUUCUGGAGCAGAGAUGAAAUCAUCUCUUCUGCCCUGCAUGCUUGGACAUUUAAUGCUGACCAGGCCUCCAGGCUUCUCAGACCUGGACGGGGAAGCUGGACUUUCUCCAGCCCAGUGCCG
rnacentral:lncRNA from 1 species